CCAAUUUAUUUAUACAACAUAACAUAAUAUAUAUCUUUGUUUAAUGCAUGUCAAUAUAUAUAUUUUAUUUUUUAUGUUAUUUAAACAACACAUUCAAAAACACCAAUAUUUAAAAAACAUAAAAAUAAAAUCAAAGUUUAAAGUAUAAAAAUAAAAACCCUGGCAAUAACCUACUCUCCCGCGA
rnacentral:misc_RNA from 1 species